CGAGCUCUCACCGAGGGGGUUUAAUCUUAGGACGGGGCGGUCCUGGGCAGCUCGGGCGUGCGCCAUCCCCUGCGGGCAGGCAGCCCACUUUCAGAGACACCGUCCUGGGCGCCCCCCUACCCCCACGGGCACCACGAGAGCCCUGAGAGUUUGGGCCUGGCUCUCCGUUCCGCAGAGCCUGCGCCUCCACCGCCCAGAGCGCUCCCCAGGGCCCCCUCCCUCCAGGAGCUUCCCCCUUCCCCCCCACCUCCACCCACCUUCAGGCUGGGGCCAGCGCCCCCCAGCUCCCCUGCCGCCCCUUUCCAGUUUCUCAGCCCGCUGGGCACCGCACCCCACCCCCACCCCGAGGGCCUUAGGACCCCCCUCCCCCGCCGAGGAGCCGGUGAGCUAGGCCCGUUUCGGGGAGAAGCACAAGUAGCGAGGGCCCGGCCGGCCGGCGAGGUGGGGGGCGGGGUGGGGGCGGGGGCGCUGCGAGUGCGCCGCUCUUCGAAGGUCCUCGGUAUAGCUCUUUCGGCGGAGCUGGGCGCCGGCGGUGACCUCUUAACAAAGAACAGCAUUUUGGCAGAAAGCCUCUUCCUCACCAAGUGGACUCGUUUAACAGGCUGCUGGAGUAUCUUCACAACAUGGCAGUUGCCUUCCCUCAGAGUAAGUGAUCCAAGAGCGAGCAAGAUGGACGCCAUCUUGCCUUCUAUGACUUUGUCUUAAAAAUCAGAUAUGUUCAUCUCACACUUAGUCUAUUUGUUGGAAGCAAAAUCACACACUCCGGGGACGGGAACUGGGCUCCACCUUUUGAAGGAAGAAAUACCCCAAAAAUUUUUAACGCUGUUGCAUGCACCCAGGCUCUUUUAUAACUGUGGGAUUGUGGGAAAGGUUCCAUACUUCCCUCUUGAGUUUUAGUUUUCUCGUAUGAGAAAUGGGUCUAAUGAUACCCGUCUCGCAAGGCUGUUGAGAGCAUUAAGUGAAACCAUAAGUGAAGAAACCUUUGCAAAGUCUGAAGAGUUAGGUAGAGGUUAGUCAUUUAGGAAAAGCGCAGAGAAUCAUGGAAACCCGCACUUACAAACUCCCAUUGAUUCGCUUUAAGAAACUCGUUGAGCUGUGAAAGGUUUCCAGGAUGAUUCAGGAAGGAUCUGGGCUGUGAAACACUGUCUUCACGUCUUCAUUUCCUUCUCCUUCUGUUAGAAUUCCAGCUUGAUACGUGUGGGACCCUCUCGAUAUUGCUUUGCUUAAACUAAUUUUUAACUCCUUGCUUCCUUGUUCAGGUAGAUUCCCUGAUGCAACCAUCUAACUGCAAUUUCUCUUGUUGGCUGGGUUCCGCUGAGAGCAGUUUCUGUCUUUGAAUUUCAAUACUUUUUUUUGGAGGGGGGGACUUUUUUUUUUUUUUAAAGAUUAUUUAUUUAUUUAUUUGACAGAGAGAUUACAUGUAGGCAGAGAGGCAGGCAGAGAGAGAGGAGGAAGCAGGCUCCCUGCUGAGCAGAGAACCCGAUGUGGGACUCGAUCCCAGGACUCUGGGAUCAUGACCUGAGCCGAAGGCAGCGGCUUAACCAACUGAGCCACCCAGGCAUCCCGCGAAGGCAGCAGCUUAAACCACUGAGCCACCCAGGCGCCCGACUUUUUUUUUUUAAAUCCCCAAGAUGUUCAAAUUAAUUUUCCUACCCACCUGUUAUUUUUCUUUCCUCCCAACACGCGCUUCCAUUCAUCGGUAUGGCUGAUGGCUGCACCCUCGGAGCUCACCAAUGGAGAGAGACGCACACAGACUCGCGGAGAAGGCAUGCUAAGGGAGAAACGGAGGGCUGACUCCUCACGAAGAGCAGCAACAUUACACGCAUCCAACGUGCUGUUGAGUUGUUGCGGUGCUAUUUUUAGCCUCUUGUCUUCCUAUUUGACUUUAAUAUGGUUGCCAAUCACGAGUCAGGAUGCUCUGAGUCCCAGCCGGGAACCAGUUGUUUUCUUUAGAAUCUGCGUUCCGCGUGCCUGUGCCGGUCGAUCUCCGAACGUGGGCCAUUUUUACCUCAGCUUUUGCCACGAUGACUCUCAUUUCUCCUCUCUCUUUCCUAUGGUCCUUGUCAAAAGGAUGAGAAGGAGAGUGUCUGCCGAACGGUAAAACGUCGCAACGGAAACCUUCUAACACAACCUUCUUGGCUCCUUCAGUCCAUCUCCACGGAGCCCGGACUCUGGUCUCCGUAACCGACUCCUGUGCCACCUGCUAUCAGUUGGAAGAAAUCGAGGCAUAUCUUUUACCUUUCCAGAACUCCCUGUUAGGUGGUUUUGAAGUUACUGGACUUCCCAGUGGCUGUUGGAACGAAUGAGGCCUCCAUGAUGUGGCUGUGGCUAUGGUGCUUUGGCCGUGGACACUGCCAUCAGGGAUAAAGGCAGGCUCCGCUGCGCACCUGCUCUCGUGGACAUAGGUACCUUUCCGGUUGUUCGGGACGUCUUUGACUUGAAGUCAGGAGACCUGGAUCUGAUAUGGCUUUGCCAUGGUCUAACACUGCUAUCACCUGCAUGGGCUGAGUAACGCGGCCGCACAGUGUGAUUGCUGGCUUGGGUUGUGCUCGCUGAGUGAUUCCACAAAGACACGAACACAAUAAAGAUCUUCCAAAUCCUGCGUGGAUUUUACACUGCUUGCAUCUCUCAAUUCAGGCCAGCGAUGUUUCAAGUACUCAGUCGCUGCGUGUGGCCAGUGGCUGCCCUCUUGGACAGUACAGCUCCAGGACAGCGCCGAAGCCCUCAUCUUCUUUUCAGCACAUGCACCCUGUCUCCCUGACUUCCAUGCUAUUGAUACCAUGCCGUAAGUGACAGCGACCGUUUGGCCCAGACCAGUGCAAGUCCCCGGGGAAUUCCAGAACCAGCACCGCGUCGGUGAACGGCAGCCUGGUGGGGACCCGAGAAACAGUUUAAGUCUCCAUCCGCCCAGGUGGCAAGCCUCGCGCUCCAGGUGCGGUCAGGGACCAGCAGGUGGUGGUGGCUGGGCCCCGCCCACCUUGACUCCCGGCAGCCUCAGCGGCAGGACGGGUCCGCCUCACCUCCCAGCAGCCUCAGCGGCAGAGCGAGCCCGCCUCAUCUCCCAGCAGCCUCAGCGCCCCGGGUUGCUUCCCCGCUCCCUUACUGCGUGCACCUCAGAAGGCGACGCGGUGCCUGGGGCUUGCCCGCUGACCCCAGCCCUCACGGCAGCCCCGCCACCAGGGAGAACCGCGUCCCCCGACGUCCCUGGACGCCCCUGCGGGGACACUGGCCCGGAAGGAGGGGCCUCCGGGUGGCCGCACCCUCCACCGCGGCGCUGCCCCCGAGGGGCUGAGGGCUGAGGGCUGAGGGCUGCCGCCUCCCAGGGCGCGCUGUCCCUUUCCAGACCGCGUCGGAGACCGGAGGCUGCAGAGGCGCCGCGUGGAAGACACGCGCAGAGCCGGACGCUUCUGGGCGAGCUGCCGCCUCGGGCGCGAGGGCCUGAGCAGCAGCGCCUGAGGGGACGCUGCACGCCUGAGGGGACACUGCCCGCCUGAAGGGACAGUGCGCGCCUGAGGGGACAGUGCGCGCCUGAGGGGACACUGCGCGCCUGAGGGGACACUGCCCGCCUGAAGGGACGCUGCCCGCCUGAGGGGACGCUGCGUGCCUGAGGGGACACUGCCCGCCUUAAGGGACGCUGCCCGCCUGAGUGGACGCUGCCCGCCUGAGGGGACACUGCGCGCCUGAGGGGACACUGUGCGUCUGAAGGGACGCUGCCCGCCUGAGGGGACGCUGCCGGGUGCGCCCCGCGGCCAGACCGAGUCCUUCCCGGCGAUCGGCGGCCGAAGGCUUGCGUGGCUUCUGAUGUGCCCCAUCGUCGUGGUCGCGUCACGUGCCGCCGUCGCUGGAUGCAGCCGCGCGGGAGCUCACGUUGGCGCGGGUGGCCGCCCUGCUUCACCACGAGCCCGUUUCUGAGCCCGACCCUCGGGCGCGACCCUCCGUCUUCCAUCCAGGAGCCCGCCCCGCCGACCGUGGGCUUCUGGCCGUUCUCUAGCUGUUUCCCGGGAAGCCCUGGGACGCGCACCCUCCGGGACGGCGCCCAGUCAUCCCUCGCGUCCUGGGCAGCUUUCUGCACGUGGCUGACCACUGACCCCGACAGUAUGAGGACGGGCCGCCUAGGCUGGAAACCGCGGUGGGAUCGUGGUCCUGUGGAGGCCGGGUCCUACACGGGGCUGCUCCCCCUGCGGUCCCUCGCGCGGCGGAGGACAGUUGUCCCGCGUCGUGAACCCACAGAAGCAGCCUCGGCGAAGACGUCUCUGCGCUGCACAGCCGCGGCCUCUGGACCUCGGCCGUCUCGGACUGGCCAGCUCCGUCCACCCCGCGUCUUGCGGGGGAUCUUCCCGCCCCAGCCCCGUCCCCGAUCAGGCCUUCAGAUAACCGCAGCCCCGCUGCACGUCUGCAAGGCCACCUCACGGGGAUCCCUGAGCCACAGCGACCCAGGCCGGCCGUUCCCAAAUCGCUGGGCCGCAGAAAGUGUGGCGCCUGAUGGUCACGUUGUCGCUUUGCACCGAGUUUUCUUGCCGCGGAUUACACAGAAGCAGAAACGGGUCCUUGGUGCUUGGGGACCCAGCUGAGGCCACCGCCGGUGCCUGCAGAGCCUCCCGCCCUGUGGCCGGGCUGUGACGAUGUCCGUGCUCCGAGAAAGCGCUCUUACGGGGUCCUUCCCAUCUGACACCUGAUUUUUCAUGAAGAUGGGGAUGGAGCCCCAUAUUUAAAGAUCCAUGUGAAAAGGAAGUUGGAAGGGGGUAGGGUCUGAAAACUCAGAUGUGGAGAUAAAUGGCCGCAGAAUGUUUUAGAGAACUGAGACAGGUUGCCACACGAAGAAAUCAGCUCUUAUCCUGCGGUCCAUGAGGAAUCAUUAAGGAUGUGAAGAUGAGGAUGCCGUUAUUAGACCCAGAAACACAAACAGGACUGUCCCCUACCAUUUAACCCGUUUUGCUAGUAUGUUCUUGACAAUGCCGCGCUAUGUGCAGCAUCCUAUUAAGUAACGAAAGUGAAGGUCUCAAAACCCAAAGAAUAUGGAGAGUUCCACUCUGUAAACUCUACAGAAAUGAGCGAUGAUACCAGGAGUUGCUGCCUCUGUGGGACUGAUAAAACAUUCCACUGACCCCAGAUAUUGCCUGCAUGAAGAUAGCACUGGACCUGAAAAUCCCAGCAUUUGUCCUCGAGACCUGACCUUGGCCAUUUUCACUUAGUCAUCUGUUGUCUUGCUGUGUGGAUGGAGGAUGACGUAUUUUCUUGAUAUUAGCAGCGGGCCCUUUGUUUCUCUUAUUUCCUUUUUGCAGUCUUAGCUGUCAUCAUUCCCCAGAGAGGCACAAGUACGUAUUCUGAUUAUAUGCGGCACUACUGAAAAUACCUACACUACGAAUGGGAAGUCGCCACACAUUUAACACACAUUGAUUCCACACAUGUUUAUGGAGCACCUAUUGCCGGGAAUUCGCAGGCCCGGUGCUGUCCCUUGGGAUGGAUUUGUCAGUGCGUAAAGGAUACAGAGACUCUCAAGGAUCGUGGCUCUGGGUGCUGGCAGGGGAAGAGAGACAAUGGAUGGCAAAAACAAAGAAGUAAGCUAUAUGCUAUGUUACAAGACUGCAAGUGCCAAGUGGACUGUUUCUUUAAAAUGGACCGAGGGGUGCCUCUCCCCCAGCCCUCAUGUGCUCUCUCUCUCUCUCUCUCUCAAAAAA